UAACGUCUCCGAUUCCACCAUCU
rnacentral:siRNA from 1 species